AGUGCAAGUAAGGACACAAAAGACUUCCAGAACUGCUUUUUGUUUCGAUCAUGCCGUAUAUAUUUAUAUAAUUACAUCUCUCUACAUCAGUAAUACAUAGAAAAGAUAAGAUUCUGUUUACAGUAGCAAAGUAUCUGUUAGAGUUUUGACGUGGGACGUCCCUGGAGAUAGCGGAAGCUGGAGGAGGCGGAGCCCGGUUGGAAGAGUAGGUGGAGCAAAAACCUCCCAGUCCACCUAAACAAAUUCUUCCUACUACUCACUGGAAAAAUAAUCCAGUGACAACAACGGAAGAGCCAGUGUUCAAGCAAAUUCUUUUGGGAUUACGUGUGUAUCCGCUUACCAACCCAGGGUACAACGAGAACCUGGACAUUUCUGUGAACCAGGAAGCAGGUCCUCAAGAUCCGCUGACACCCUCACCUUGGACUUCUCAAUCCCUAGAAAUGUCCCAAGACAGCCUUGCUUGUCAGUGAGGGGCUGCCCAAGUACGACUGGACUCUGUCUCAGGGGGGAUGAUUUUACAGACAAACAGAAGCACGUAAAGUUACAUCCUAACGGUCUCAGCUAUUCAA